rnacentral:lncRNA from 1 species
UGGGUAUGCUCGGCAUAGGGUAUCGAUCGGCAAUUGUUCGCUCGUUCAGUUUCCUGAAGUCGAUUACCAGCCGCUUUUUCCUGUUGCCUUUGACGUCAGAUUUCUUUUUGUCUACAACCCAAAUUGGGCUGUUGUAUGGCGACCUAGAUGGCCUGAUUAUGCCGUCCUUCAGCAGUUCUUUGACUUCUUUGUUAACGAAGUCUGCUGCUCCCAUAGGGUAGGGGUAUAAUUUCGAGUAGACUGGUUCGUCAUUCACAGUUCGGAUGGUGGCGACAACUGAGGUGUUAAAGGGAAGCGCCUCGUUAGAGGUCGAAAAAACUUUAAUUCUCUUCAGUAUCAUCUUUUUAAACUCGGAUUUUACCGAGCCUGGGACCACCAGGUCAUCGACUUUGGUGAAAUUUACGUUGUCACAUGGAACCUAAGUUGUUCAGUUACGUUUCC